rnacentral:rRNA from 1 species
GACGUAGGAUGCAAGCGUUGUCCGGAAUUAUUGGGCGUAAAGCGUUCGUAGGCGGCCUGUCAAGUCUGAUGUUAAAUCCCGGAGCUCGACUCCGACUAAGCAUUGGAUACUGACAAGCUAGAGUGCAGGAGAGGCAAGGGGAAUUCCUAGUGUAGCGGUGAAAUGCGUAGAUAUUAGGAGGAACACCGGUGGCGAAAGCGCCUUGCUGGACUGUAACUGACGCUGAGGGACGAAAGCCAGGGGAG